GCGGCUGCGUUAUCGGGAACUCUCGGGAACUGAGGAUAAUCCCAGAUACGGAAUGGGGUGUGGAAUCCUCCCAUUCUGCAAAGCUUCGGCGCUUCACGAUCGGUCGGCGGCCCAUCAGGUAGUUGGUGAGGUAACGGCUCACCAAGCCUAUGACGGGUAAGGGCCAUGAGAGUGGUUGCCCUGAGAGGGACACUGAGAUACUGGUCCCAGCCCCACGGGGUGCAGCAGUCGCGAAAACUCCGCAAUGCGCGAAAGCGUGACGGGGGGAUUCUGAGUGCUUCGGUUUCACCGAGGCUUUUCGUGAGGGUAAAUACCUCGCGGAAUAAGUGGUGGGCAAGACCGGUGCCAGCCGCCGCGGUAACCCCGGCGCCACAAGUUGCAACCACGUUUAUUGGGCCUAAAGCGUCCGUAGCCGGCUUUUUAAGUCUUUUGUGAAAUUGUUGCGCUUAACGUAACAACGUGCAAGAGAUACUGCUAAGCUAGGGACCGGGAGGAGUCAGAGGUAUUCUAGGGGGAGUGGUAAAAUAUGAUAAUCCUUGGAGGACCACCAGUGGCGAAGGCGUCUGACUAGAACGGGUCCGACGGUGAGGGACGAAAGCUAGGGGAUCAAACCGGAUUAGAUACCCGAGUAGUCCUAGCUGUAAACGCUGCGAGCCAUGUGCUGCAUGUUCUUUGUGGACCUGCAGUGCCGUAAUGAAGAUGUUAAGCUCGCCGCCUGGGAAGUACGGUCGCAAGGCUGAAACUUAAAGGAAUUGGCGGGGGAGCAC
rnacentral:rRNA from 1 species